AGUGAACGCUGGCGGCGUGCUUAACACAUGCAAGUCGAACGAGAACGGAUUAUAGCUUGCUAUAAUUGUCAGCUAAGUGGCGCACGGGUGAGUAAUGUAUAGGUAAUAUGCAUCUUACUAAGGGAUAACAAAUGGAAACGUUUGCUAAUACCUUAUACUCCUUAUUAACAUAAGUUAAUAAGGGAAAGAUUUACUGGUAAGAGAUUAGCCUGUAUUGUAUCAGUUAGUUGGUGGGGUAAUGGCUUACCAAGACUAUGACCCAUAACUGGUUUGAGAGGAUGAUCAGUCACACUGGAACUGAGACACGGUCCAGACUCCUACGGGAGGCAGCAGUGGGGAAUAUUGCACAAUGGACGAAAGUCUGAUGCAGCAACGCCGCGUGGAGGAUGACACAUUUCGGUGCGUAAACUCCUUUUAUAUGAGAAGAUAAUGACGGUAUUAUAUGAAUAAGCACCGGCUAACUCCGUGCCAGCCGCCGCAGUAA
rnacentral:rRNA from 1 species